GAUGAACGCUGGCGGCGUGCCUAAUACAUGCAAGUCGAGCGAACAGACGAGGAGCUUGCUCCUCUGACGUUAGCGGCGGACGGGUGAGUAACACGUGGAUAACCUACCUAUAAGACUGGGAUAACUUCGGGAAACCGGAGCUAAUACCGGAUAAUAUAUUGAACCGCAUGGUUCAAUAGUGAAAGACGGUUUUGCUGUCACUUAUAGAUGGAUCCGCGCCGCAUUAGCUAGUUGGUAAGGUAGCGACUUACCAAGGCAACGAUGCGUAGCCGACCUGAGAGGGUGAUCGGCCACACUGGAACUGAGACACGGUCCAGACUCCUACGGGAGGCAGCAGUAGGGAAUCUUCCGCAAUGGGCGAAAGCUUGACGGAGCAACGCCGCGUGAGUGAUGAAGGUCUUCGGAUCGUAAAACUCUGUUAUUAGGGAAGAACAAAUGUGUAAGUAACUAUGCACGUCUUGACGGUACCUAAUCAGAAAGCCACGGCUAACUACGUG
rnacentral:rRNA from 1 species